GGUUUUAAGCCUUCAAUUUGCCCCAAUUGACAUGAAGUGCGCAUUUCGAAAAGCCAGUGAACGCAGCGUCAUACGGGCACCCCCACCCCACUCCCCCGGAAACCCCCGGAUGAACCCGCAGGAAGGCGCGCGGCUGAAGAACUUCUUGGACAGCUGGAAGGCCGCAGGAUCACGGUGAAGGCCUCUUCUGUAAAGAGGACGGGGGGCGGAAACGUCACGUGGUCUCCGCAGAGACUGGUCAGUUAUGUUGAGACAACAUGUACAAAUAGUUCCUGGACUGAUCUUCUGCUAACUUUGAGAUGGAGAGGCUGUCAGGUUCAUCUGUUUCAGGGUCCUGCAUGCUCUCCCUCCAUGUUGGCUGUAGCAGUGGAUGGAACUUGCUAAAUGUACUGUUUUGAGAGCCAACUGGGCUCAGUGGUUAUUUGGAAGAUGCGUUUUUGACCAAAAACACUGUGGUGACCUCCUUUGUGAACUGCAUUCAUGGGGAAAUAGAAUAUAAUCCUGGAGAUGGGAGAAGUGGAGCAGGUAAGUUUGUGGCAGCACCAGAGUCCUCCAACAAGUUUUUUGGCAAAGUAAAUGAGGAAGGAUCGCAGUCUGCCAUCGUGGAGUUUUGCUGAAAGGCCUGAACACGUUCCAUCCAUGCAUCCAUCUUCUUCCAUUCAUCAGGAACCAGGUUGUGAGGGCAGCAGUCUAAGCAAAGAUGCCCACACUUCCCUCUCCUCCAGCUCCUCUUGGGGGACCCCGGGGCCAGCUGAGAGACGUAGUCUCCCCAGCGUGUCCUGGGUCUCCCUUAGGGCCUCUGCCCUUAUUCCUGUUGGAGUUUUUUUCUAACCCCUUAUGUUUCAAAAGUUUGCAAACAUACAUUUUGGUUGAAAUGAUGAGGAUCCGAGGAUGAAAUCAAGAAGGGACAACAUCAGGGAAAGGGACUGAACCGACUGAACAGCUUCCUCUCUUCAGCAGACACAUGUUCCGAGUACAUAUGUGUCAAAAACUGACAUCCUCGCCGUUCAGGCCAGUGGCUGGAAUAAGCGGAAGUCAGAAAAGCUGGAGCAGACGUGAACGGAAUGAUACCUCCAGGACCAAUCAAAAUGACCCAGAGAAAAACACUGAAGGGCUUUGUCUGAGCAUCAGGAAAACAAGAAUCAGCUGUCAUCAACCUAUGGUUAUGGUGCCAUGGUAAAGAACUAAAGGCUCUAUGAUGUCAUGCUGCUGACCAGACUGUGGUUGGUGAAGUCCAGCAGCACUGCGGGUCCUUGAAGUGUGGUUGAAGAGCUCUCCUCCCAGCUUUUGGAAGGUUCUGCCCCACAAAGCAGCACAGAGUCAUUGAUGGAGAGAGAACAUGAGGGACUAAUUGUCUGCUGAGGAGGAGACUUUCUGCAGUUCAAGCCCCAGCUCCACCUCUAAAAAAAGGCUUAUAUAAAGGAAAACCUCAUUUCAACUUUGUACCAAUAAAUGACUUUUAAUUGAAAUGAGAGAUUCUUUCUGAACUGCACCAAUGAAGGGUUUUUCAACCUAAAUUUCAACAAUUACAUUGUUUUUUACCUCCGUUCAAGUUUCUACAACACUAGCUAAACAUUUCAGUGCUCACACCUGUGCUGAAGACACUUCUCAUUUUAACUCAAACGUUUGGCCUUUGAUUUGUAUGUCCAACACCUUAGAAUGAAACACUGACCUAUUAAACUCAUAUAAUAAAUGUG